CGGGAGCGACGGCAAGGCGUCUUCGCCGGAUUCAGGUUCCGGCGACGACAAGGGCGGUACCCCCGCCUCCGGUUCCGCCUCGCGCGCCUCCGA
rnacentral:tRNA from 1 species